rnacentral:rRNA from 1 species
UACGGAGGGGGCUAGCGUUGUUCGGAAUUACUGGGCGUAAAGCGCGCGUAGGCGGCUUUGUAAGUUAGAGGUGAAAGCCCGGAGCUCAACUCCGGAAUUGCCUUUAAGACUGCAUCGCUAGAAUCAUGGAGAGGUGAGUGGAAUUCCGAGUGUAGAGGUGAAAUUCGUAGAUAUUCGGAAGAACACCGGUGGCGAAGGCGGCUAUCUGGACAGAAACUGACGCUGAGGCGCGAAAGCUAGGGGAGCAAACAGG